rnacentral:rRNA from 1 species
UACAGAGGUCUCAAGCGUUGUUCGGAUUCAUUGGGCGUAAAGGGUGCGUAGGCGGCGCGGUAAGUCGGGUGUGGAAUCUCGGAGCUUAACUCCGAAACUGCAUUCGAUACUGCCGUGCUUGAGGACUGGAGAGGAGACUGGAAUUUACGGUGUAGCGGUGAAAUGCGUAGAUAUCGUAAGGAAGACCAGUGGCGAAGGCGGGUCUCUGGACAGUUCCUGACGCUGAGGCACGAAGGCCAGGGGAGCAAACGGG